rnacentral:rRNA from 1 species
AUCUCUGUAGAGUCUGCAUAUCAAUAAGCGGAGGAAAAGAAACUAACAAGGAUUCCCCUAGUAACGGCGAGUGAAGCGGGAAGAGCUCAAAUUUGAAAUCUUCAAGGUUUGACCUUGACGAAUUGUAGUUUAAAGAAGUGUUUUCGGUUAGAGGAGUAGUAAAAGUUCUUUGGAAUAGGACAUCAUAGAGGGUGAGAAUCCCGUAUUUGACUAUUCUUUCUAGCUUUGUGAUACACUUUCAAAGAGUCGGAUUGUUUGGGAAUGCAGUCCAAAAUGGGUGGUAAAUUUCAUCUAAAGCUAAAUAUUGGCGAGAGACCGAUAGCGAACAAGUACCGUGAGGGAAAGAUGAAAAGAACUUUGAAAAGAGAGUUAAACAGUACGUGAAAUUGUCAAAAGGGAAGCGUUUGACACCAGUGUUGUUUUUCCGAAAAUCAAUUAAAAAUUGAUUCAUGCCAGGUUGUAUUGACCUUAUCAGCUUGCAAUUUGGUUUUGGGUCUCUUUUGAUGCACUUUUCGGUUAACAAGUCAACAUCAAUUUCCUUUGCUGUAAAAAGGUAAGAGGAAGGUGGCUUCAAUUUCGGUUGAAGUGUUUAUAGCCUUUUAUCUCUGCAGUCGGGGAGAUUGAGGUCUGCAGCGUAGAUCCUUCGGGGCUAGAUACAUUUAUGCUAAGUUAUAGCUUUUCAUAGACAACUUGUUGACUAUGUUUAGUCAUGUAGCUUACUCGUAAGUGCUAUUUUACCUACGCUUAGGAUGUUGAAGACUCUACAGAGAUA